ACCGGCAGCUCAAGUGGUGGCCAUUUUUAUUGGGCCUAAAGCGUUCGUAGCCGGUUUGAUAAGUCUCUGGUGAAAUCCCGCAGCUUAACUGUGGGACUUGCUGGAGAUACUAUUAGACUUGAGGUCGGGAGAGGUUAGGGGUACUCCCAGGGGAGGGGUGAAAUGCAAUAAUCCUGGGAGGACCACCUGAGGCGAAGGGGCGGAACUGGAAUGAACCUGAUGGUGAUUAACGAAAGCGGGGAGUGCGAGCCG
rnacentral:rRNA from 1 species